UACGUAGGGUGCAAGCGUUAAUCGGAAUUACUGGGCGUAAAGCGUGCGCAGGCGGUUUUGUAAGUCUGUCGUGAGAUCCCCGGGCUCAACCUGGGAAUUGCGAUGGAGACUGCAAGGCUAGAAUCUGGCAGAGGGGGGUAGAAUUCCACGUGUAGCAGUGAAAUGCGUAGAGAUGUGGAGGAACACCGAUGGCGAAGGCAGCCCCCUGGGUCAAGAUUGACGCUCAUGC
rnacentral:rRNA from 1 species